rnacentral:lncRNA from 1 species
GACCAUCAGUCCAGGCAUUGUCGAUACCGACAUACUGCCCACUUCUAUUCGUAAUGUUGUCAAGGAUAUGUUACCGAGUCUUACGUCUGAGGAUGUGGCCGAUGCUGUUUUAUGGGCAAUAAGCACACCAUCAAAUGUACAGGUUCACAACAUCACCCUAAAGCCCAUGGGCGAAAAAUUUUAAUACUUGUUAUAUUUUAAGCUUAUCUCAUUAAAUUCAUUUGACUCUU